rnacentral:rRNA from 1 species
GUGGGGAAUAUUGCACAAUGGGCGCAAGCCUGAUGCAGCCAUGCCGCGUGUGUGAAGAAGGCCUUCGGGUUGUAAAGCACUUUCAGCGGGGAGGAAGGCGGUGAGGUUAAUAACCUCAUCGAUUGACGUUACCCGCAGAAGAAGCACCGGCUAACUCCGUGCCAGCAGCCGCGGUAAUACGGAGGGGGCAAGCGUUAAUCGGAAUUACUGGGCGUAAAGCGCACGCAGGCGGUCUGUCAAGUCGGAUGUGAAAUCCCCGGGCUCAACCUGGGAACUGCAUUCGAAACUGGCAGGCUAGAGUCUUGUAGAGGGGGGUAGAAUGCCAGGUGUAGCGGUGAAAUGCGUAGAGAUCUGGAGGAAUACCGGUGGCGAAGGCGGCCCCCUGGACAAAGACUGACGCUCAGGUGCGAAAGCGUGGGGAGCAAACAGGAUUAGAAACCCUGGUAGUCC